rnacentral:rRNA from 1 species
CCCUUAGAUGUUCUGGGCCGCACGCGCGCUACACUGAUGCAUUCAACGAGCCUAGCCUUGACCGAGAGGUCCGGGUAAUCUUUGAAACUGCAUCGUGAUGGGGCUAGAUUAUUGCAAUUAUUAAUCUUCAACGAGGAAUGCCUAGUAAGCGUGAUUCAUCAAAUCGCGUUGAUUACGUCCCUGCCCUUUGUACACACCGCCCGUCGCUCCUACCGAUUGAAUGUUCCGAUGAAUACCAUGGACUGAGAGUAUGAAUGGGUUCGCCUAUUUCUGCUUCUCGGGAAGUGGAGUAAAUCUUAACAUUUAGAGGAAGGAGAAGUCGUAACA